GCUACCAAAGACCCGGGCUGUGUCUACUACCGCGCACUUGAGCACUGACUUUCAGUGUUCGAAGUGCGCCACUGAAAAAACCAGCAGAAUUCAGUGCACUGAAAGUACCCGGAUGGCGCACUGCAAACGGGCAAAAAAUGUCGUGUAAAACGAUGGACACUACUCGCCCUAAGCGGCCGCCAUCUUGGAGACGUAGCGGAAGAGGAGGAGCCCUUUCGCCAGCUUUUCAUUUUAUUUCAAAAACAAUGGCGGACAGCACAAGCGGUAGACCACGAAGCUACAGACCGUAAAUAGACGUUUCCUGGAGGUGCUGGUCCUCUGCUGCCCUCCCGACAUCUGGCUCCAAUGACCUCUGGCACCUCACAUCCACCUCCAGGGCCUUUAAGAAGAUGGACCGCCAUCGCGUCUUCAGUAUCCCGAAGGACCUCUCCACAACACACCUCGCCUUUGACAGGCAGCAGUUGUAUCUUGGAGGCGGACAGGCUGCCUGAAGGGGGUCAUGAGGCAGAUGGGUUGGGACAGGCAGGGGGAGCCACCAUCCCCAAGGAUACCGUAUCCUGGUGGAGGGGAUGACUGCUCAUAGAAGAUGGGGCUGUUAUUCAGGACCCUGGCAUCAUGCACUGAGCCCGGGUAGCCCACACACACAUCUAUGAAUUUGCACUUAUCACAGAUGGCCUGCAGCUGGAUGGAAUGAAAAAGCUUCCUGUUAAAAUAGCAGGCAGCAUCCUCCGCUGGGGGCUUCACUCUGACGUGGCAGCCAUCAAUAGCCCCCACCACUCUGCUGAAGGCUGCCGACCAGCUAGACGGGCGAAGCGGGCAGGGGAAGGGAAGAUUAUAUUAAUAUGCAAGUCAUUUUAUCAAUAAAAUGUUGUCAUUGA